UACGUAGGGUGCGAGCGUUGUCCGGAAUUAUUGGGCGUAAAGAGCUCGUAGGCGGUCUGUCGCGUCGAAUGUGAAAACCCGGGGCUCAACUCCGGGCUUGCAUUCGAUACGGGCAGGCUAGAGUUCGGUAGGGGAGUCUGGAAUUCCUGGUGUAGCGGUGAAAUGCGUAGAUAUCGGGAGGAACACCGGUGGCGAAGGCGGGUCUCUGGGCCGAUACUGACGCUGAGGAGCGAAAGCGUGGGGAGCGAACAGG
rnacentral:rRNA from 1 species